rnacentral:rRNA from 1 species
AUGGGGACCAUGACGAUCGGUGCCAAGUACAAGGCCACGCUCAAGGACCGCGGCACCGGCGGCGUCCUCCGCAUGAGUGAAGAUAAGUUAACAUUUACUCCUAAUGAUCCACGCUCACUAAUGAAGCUCAGUGUCGAUUUUCGGACCAUCAAAGGCCAUAAGUUCAACAAGGUAGAUGGUAGCAAACCAACACCGGCAUUAUUGAAUCUUUCAAAAGAUUCUGACAAGGGGGGAGGCUAUAUUUUUGAGUUUGAGAAUGUUGGUAACCGUGAUUUGUGUCGCGACUUUGUAGCUAGGGUUUUAGGCAAACAUCAAGGUACUGUGCCUGCUAGACCAAAUGUACCUCCUGAGAUAUCAGCUGUGUCAACUGGUCCAGAACAGCUCAGUUCUGCCGAAAUGGAACGGCGAAUGAAAUUGCUACGAGAAGACAGUGAACUGCAGAAGUUACAUAAGAAGUUUGUGCUUGGUAAUAUUCUCCAAGAGUCUGAAUUUUGGGCAACAAGAAAGAAUUUACUUGACGAUGAAACAAACAAAGCAUCAAAACAAAAGCCAAGUUUCAAAAGUGCUAUGCUAGCUGAUGUUAGGCCAUCAGCUGAUGGACAGACAAACAAGGUUACUUUCAGUCUGACUACUGAGAUUAUCCAUCAGAUUUUUGCAGAAAAGCCAGCCGUGCAUCGGGCAUUUUUAGAUUAUGUCCCGAAGAAGUUGUCAGAAAAGGAUUUUUGGACAAAGUACUGUAGAGCUGAGUAUCUACUUAGAACAAAAAAUACUUUAGCGGCAAAAGCUGAGGCCGCUGAUGAUGAGGAAUUAGCCAUGUUUUUGAAAAAUGAUGAUAUACUUGCCAAGGAGGCAAAGCUCAAGAUAAAACGAGUUGAUCCAACAUUAGACAUGGAGGCAGAUGCAGGAGAUGACUACAUCCAUCUUCUGGAUCACGGGAUUCUCCGUGAUGGCAGCAGAGACACAACUGAUACUGAUAGCGAGUUGGCUAGGAGAACACUUUCUCAGGAUCUGAAUCGGCAUGCUGCUGUUGUUCUUGAAGGGAGAUCAACAGAUAUUGAAUCAACUGAUACGAAGACUGUGGCUGAAGCACUUGCACGGUCCAAGAAGGAACCACCUCCUAGCUCUGUUGCUGAUGAUGCUAGUCAUGAGAGAUUGGUAAAGGUGGCCCGCAUGACUGAGAUAGAGGAUCUGCAAGCUCCACGAAGUCUCCCAUACGCUCCACUUUGUAUAAAGGAUCCUCGAGAAUAUUUUGAUUCUCAGCAAGCCAAUGCUCUGAGACCUUUAGGUAGCAACGAUGGAAGAAAGGCCCGCAGCUGCAGCCUGAGCACCGAUGAUACAUUCUGUCAUUUAAUGGAUCAAAUAUCUUCCGUGAAAAUGAACUGUCCGGUUGUUCAGUCAGAUGUUGCUCUAAAGGUAAGCAGUUUUACUUGA